AAUAUUGCGCAAUGGACGGAAGUCUGACGCAGCGACGCCGCGUGAGCGAUGAAGGCCUUCGGGUCGUAAAGCUCUGUCCUUGGGGAAGAAGGUCUUCGGACUUGACGGUACCCAAGAAGAAAGCCCCGGCUAACUACGUGCCAGCAGCCGCGGUAAUACGUAGGGGGCGAGCGUUGUCCGGAAUUACUGGGCGUAAAGGGUGCGUAGGCGGCCCUUUAAGUCAGAUGUGAAAGGCUACGGCUUAACCGUAGUUAGCAUUUGAAACUAAAAGGCUUGAGUGCAGGAGAGGAGAGUGGAAUUCCUAGUGUAGCGGUGAAAUGCGUAGAUAUUAGGAGGAACACCAGUGGCGAAGGCGACUCUCUGGACUGCAACUGACGCUGAGGCACGAAAGCGUGGGGAGCGAAC
rnacentral:rRNA from 1 species